rnacentral:rRNA from 1 species
GGAAUUGACGGGGCCCGCACAAGCGGAGGAACAUGUGGUUUAAUUCGAUGAUACGCGAGGAACCUUACCCGGGCUCGAACGGUGCAUGAAUAAUUCAGAGAUGGAUUAGUCCUUCGGGACAUGUAUCGAGGUGCUGCAUGGUUGUCGUCAGCUCGUGCCGUGAGGUGUCGGCUUAAGUGCCAUAACGAGCGCAACCCUUGUCGUUAGUUACCAUCAAGUAAUGUUGGGGACUCUAGCGAGACUGCCACCGUAAGGUGUGAGGAAGGGGGGGAUGACGUCAAAUCAGCACGGCCCUUACGUCCGGGGCGACACACGUGUUACAAUGGUAGGUACAGAGGGCAGCUACCCAGUGAUGGGGUGCGAAUCUCAAAAACCUAUCUCAGUUCGGAUUGGAGUCUGCAACUCGACUCCAUGAAGUUGGAUUCGCUAGUAAUCGCGCAUCAGCCAUGGCGCGGUGAAUACGUUCCCGGGCCUU